rnacentral:piRNA from 1 species
UCGGGGCCUCUGUUUUGCUCUGGGAUAAUC